rnacentral:lncRNA from 1 species
GCCUGAAGUGCUGCCACCGAAGGAAGUGGUCCCAGAAAAGAAAGUACCGGUGCCUCCUGCCAAAAAGCCAGAAGCUCCACCUCCUAAAGUGCCUGAGGCUCCCAAAGAAGUUGUUCCUGAAAAGAAAGUGCCAGUGCCUCCUCCUAAAAAGCCUGAAGUGCCACCCACAAAAGUCCCAGAGGUGCCAAAGGCAGCUGUCCCAGAAAAGAAGGUGCCUGAAGCUAUUCCUCCCAAACCGGAAAGUCCUCCCCCUGAAGUGCCUGAAGUGCUGCCACCGAAGGAAGUGGUCCCAGAAAAGAAAGUACCGGUGCCUCCUGCCAAAAAGCCAGAAGCUCCACCUCCUAAAGUACCAGAGGCUCCCAAAGAGGUUGUUCCUGAAAAGAAAGUGCCCUCGGCUCCUCCUAAAAAGCCUGAAGUCCCACCUGUUAAAGUGCCAGAGGCUCCGAAAGAAGUUGUUCCUGAAAAGAAAGUGCCAGCGGCUCCUCCUAAAAAGCCUGAAGUCACACCUGUUAAAGUGCCUGAGGCUCCCAAAGAAGUUGUUCCUGAAAAGAAAGUGCCAGUGCCUCCUCCUAAAAAGCCUGAAGUGCCACCCACAAAAGUCCCAGAGGUGCCAAAGGUAGCUGUCCCAGAAAAGAAGGUGCCUGAAGCUAUUCCUCCCAAACCGGAAAGUCCUCCCCCUGAAGUGUUCGAGGAGCCUGAGGAAGUUGCCCUAGAAGAGCCUCCUGCUGAAGUUGUGGAAGAGCCAGAGCCAGCGGCGCCUCCACAAGUGACCGUACCACCUAAGAAACCUGUCCCAGAAAAGAAAGCACCUGCUGUCGUUGCCAAAAAACCUGAACUACCACCAGUGAAAGUGCCCGAGGUGCCCAAGGAGGUUGUUCCUGAAAAGAAGGUGCCUCUGGUGGUUCCCAAAAAGCCAGAAGCCCCACCUGCUAAAGUGCCUGAAGUUCCAAAAGAAGUUGUUCC